AGUGAACGCUGGCGGUAGGCCUAACACAUGCAAGUCGAACGGCAGCACAGUAAGAGCUUGCUCUUACGGGUGGCGAGUGGCGGACGGGUGAGGAAUACAUCGGAAUCUACUUUUUCGUGGGGGAUAACGUAGGGAAACUUACGCUAAUACCGCAUACGACCUACGGGUGAAAGCAGGGGAUCUUCGGACCUUUCGCGAUUGAAUGAGCCGACGUCGGAUUAGCUAGUUGGCGGGGUAAAGGCCCACCAAGGCGACGAUCCGUAGCUGGUCUGAGAGGAUGAUCAGCCACACUGGAACUGAGACACGGUCCAGACUCCUACGGGAGGCAGCAGUGGGGAAUCUUGGACAAUGGGCGAAAGCCUGAUCCAGCCAUACCGCGUGGGUGAAGAAGGCCUUCGGGUUGUAAAGCCCUUUUGUUGGGAAAGAAAAGCAGCAGGUUAAUACCCCGCUGUUCUGACGGUACCCAAAGAAUAAGCACCGGCUAACUUCGUG
rnacentral:rRNA from 1 species